rnacentral:rRNA from 1 species
AUUGAACGCUGGCGGCAGGCCUAACACAUGCAAGUCGAACGGUAACAGGAAGAAGCUUGCUUCUUUGCUGACGAGUGGCGGACGGGUGAGUAAUGUCUGGGAAGCUGCCUGAUGGAGGGGGAUAACUACUGGAAACGGUAGCUAAUACCGCAUAACGUCGCAAGACCAAAGAGGGGGACCUUCGGGCCUCUUGCCAUCGGAUGUGCCCAGAUGGGAUUAGCUAGUAGGUGGGUAACGGCUCACCUAGGCGACGAUCCCUAGCUGGUCUGAGAGGAUGACCAGCCACACUGGAACUGAGACACGGUCCAGACUCCUACGGGAGGCAGCAGUCGGGAAUAUUGCACAAUGGGCGCAAGCCUGAUGCAGCCAUGCCGCGUGUAUGAAGAAGGCCUUCGGGUUGUAAAGUACUUUCAGCGGGGAGGAAGGGAGUAAAGUUAAUACCUUUGCUCAUUGACGUUACCCGCAGAAGAAGCACCGGCUAACUCCGUGCCAGCCGCCGCGGUAACAC